rnacentral:lncRNA from 1 species
CCAGAUGCGCACACGCCACAUUUAAUGCGUGCAGGCCUUGGCCGAUGUCGCCUACCGUUGGCCGAUGUUGCUUGCUGUUGGCCGAUACAAGCAGGCCACGAUCUGUGACGCCCAGCCAAUGCACACACGGCACGGCUGAUGCUUCUAGGCCUUGGCUGAUGCUACAUGGCAUUGGCCAACGUCAUUUGCCAGAUGCGCACAUGCUAC